UUAAUGCUUCGAAAUAUAAGCCUAGCAAAAUAACAACUAUAGUUCGGACAAGUUUAGUGGUUUAUCUACAAUCCAAAAUGUGGCUUAACUACAAUCCAAAAUAAAACACCAUCCAAUCAUUCAAGUUUAUCUUGUAAUUCAUCAGCCAAAUCGUCCACUUCAAAUUCAUCACCGAUGUCAUUCUCUUAAAUUUCAUCAUCUAGGUCAUCCUCUUGAAAUUCAUCAUCUAUAUCAUCCUCCUGAAAUUCAUCACUUAAGUUGUCCUCAAGAAAUUCGUCCUCAAGAAAUUCAUCAUCUACGUCUUCCUCCUCAUCUAUGUCAUCCUGUACAGCAUCUUCAUUGAUAACUUGCUGCAUAAGAACAAAAUACAUCAACCAUAGAAAACUUGUUUUACACAUUUCCCUUCCUUAUUCUAUCAUUACAAGCUCAUUUUUAAGUUUCUGCAACUUAUGCCAUGUUAUGCAACAGAGAAAGAAACACAAAAUGCAGAAAAAUAAAUCACAAGUUUGCACAAACACCACAAAUUGCAUAAACAAUUUAUGCAUAAAAUUCUGCAACACAAUCAAAAUCCGACUUUGGACAUGCAUUUUAAACAAUUCAGCCAAACAACAUAAUCAUAAGUUCGCACAGCUCUAAUUUAGACCCAACAUACGCAAGUUAACAAUUUCAGACACUUGCCUACAUUCCAAGUGAUGUCAUUACUAACAACUUUUUGCAUAUAUUAACAAGCAAAAUAUAACUAGUUUAACUCAAUUACAAUAACAUAAUCAACAAUAUUUCUAUAUAUGGUUACCUUUUCAGGACAUGGAGUAU
rnacentral:lncRNA from 1 species